GGUCGUAUAGCGCAAUGGUAGCGCGUUACUUUCCGGUCAAGCACGAUUCCAGCAAUCGUGUUCUCCAGCUGGUAAAGGUUCUGGGUUCGAGUCCCAGUAUGAUCG